rnacentral:lncRNA from 1 species
CACGGCUGUUCACUGGUAAUGAUCGAAACAUGUACUGUCAGGAAUAGGGGGUUCAUGAGAUGUGGUUGCUGGUAGAUAGCAACUAUCAUAUAAACAUAAACCUGUGUGGUCUGGAGGUGGACACAUUGAGCACUGAAAGUUUUAUAUGUAAAACUUUAUAUUUAGCAAUGUAUUUUAAAAUAUAACACAUCAUUCUGUGUCAAUUACUACAAAAAUAGCCUUUUGAAAUCAGAUGACUUUUCUCAUACAUGCCAUACACUCCACCCUUACUCUUGGUACCCCAUUUGUAAAAAUCCUGGAAAAACCCUUGUACAUGUGCUAGCUUUUUGGCAUACAUAUUAAGUGUCCACGAGGACAUAAAAACUAUUUAAAAGUUUUCUAAUUCUUCAAACUUCCCUAAAGUUUUUUUUUUUCUACCAGCAUGUUUACCGUUUUCAUGUCACUUUUUUCAUAAUGCCCCGGGUUUCAUUAACUGGGAAAGGAAAAUAAAAAGGAAAAAGACGUAAAAAAAAGAAAAAAAAAAAAGCAGUUUUCUUAUUUUGCUCACCGUGACCGAAAGAGAAACAGCUAACCACACUCCCGGCAUCCAGUCGUUUCGCUACCGUGGGAUUUAAAGUAUUUUUCAUCGCUUUCGUCGGUACCCACCCUUGACCCUGACACCUGAAAGCGGUGGGAUGCACCCCGACACAUCCCACUGGUUUUUUGGAGACGACGGCCACGUGACCGAGGUAGCGGCAGCAUCCGCGCGCACACCGCCGCUGUUCGUUUGAUAGCAUCCACAGCGCCGGACGGAGAAGAGAGCGGGACAGAGAGAGAGAGAAAAAGAGAGGGAGAUAGGAAGAAACAGUCGUCGAGGGAAGACGAACAAAAUCUCCGUCUUGCUGACUCCUUCACCAGACACGGCGGGCACACCAUGGACGGCUAUGGCCGGACCGAAGAUGAGCUGUUCUCCUCCUGCCUCGUGAACCUCACCUGGGAGACGUGCUACGAGCAGCAUGUUUCAUCACAGCGAGGCUCAAGCUCCGUUACUACUCACUCAGUGGCUUGGUUAAAUGAAACCUCCUUUGUGUGCGCUCUUAUGUACAGUAUUUGAUCCACGUGAGUCCCUUUUUUUUCAAUGUAAUGAGACAGUGGCUUCACUGUUUUGCUUUUUGUGAGUGGAGGCACUUUACAGCAAGGAAGGAAUUAAAAACUGUUUAAACAGGGUUGUAUUUGGAGAGCCUUUUGAGAGAUCACAGACUCAGCAGAGAGCGGGAAUGUGUUCCUUUCUUUGAGUUUACACUAUUGUACUCCACUUUUGGCAGGGGAAAAGGUAGAAUUUACAAUAUAUUUAGUGUUCAUAGCUAAGUAUAAGAAAAAUUGAUUGUAAGCUGUCAGGAUGCCUGUGUGGCACUUGGGUUAAUAAAAGCUCUCAUUCAGAGCGGAAACAAACUCAUCAUCAUUAGUCAGUCGAUGGAAUAGUAAUUGGCAGCUGUUUGGUAUCAAUCAAUUCAUUAUUUGCUUCUUUUUUUUUUUAAACAAAUCCUUCUCCAGUUCCAGCUUUUCUGUUUUUAUAGCAUUGAAACCAAGUAUCUUUCACAAAUUUUCCCAGUUUUAUUAUUCAAAUGACUAAUCGGUAAGAAAAUUUGCAGGCUGGAGUCCUGCACAUCUC